rnacentral:misc_RNA from 1 species
UUUCCGUAGGUGAACCUGCGGAAGGAUCAUUAUAAAUGGAAAACGAAUAACUUCAGGGAAGAAGGGAACCUGCACGGUGACCUCCCCUGUCGGGCCACCCAAUACCUUCAAAAUGCCGCCGUCCUAGCGGUGGCAGACGAAAAAAAAACAAGAAAAACAAAAUAGAAACAGGCACGGUGGCCCGUUCACCUUCACACAACCCUCCGAGUACCGCUUCCAUGUUGCUUCCCCGCAAAUCCACCUCUUUGGUGAGCGCGGGGGAGGUCCGCAUCAAAUUCACCUGAAUGUCACAGCAGUCAGACAGCCAUUCAUGGAAACAAUAAAACUUUCAACAACGGAUCUCUUGGUUCCC